ensembl:lncRNA
AGCAGAUGCAGUUUGGAGGUUUUUUGAGAUGGUGUGGAGGAGAACUUCCUUUUGGUAUGUACAUCAGCUGAGGAGGAAGGUCUUCUGUUCCCUGAGUCCUGCUUCUCUGUUGGAGACCUCUGCCUCUGUAGCAGCGGUGAAGAGAAAGGCUCAGCUCCCAGCAAUGCAGGACUUCAUCUCUGCUGCAGGAAUACACACACCUGAGAGAGCAGAGCAGCUGCCAGGCAGAGGCCUCCAAACACACACCUGAGAGAGCAGAGCGGCCACCUGGCAGAAGCCUCCCACUCAGGAAACCUGUAUCUCCUGCUCAUUCAAACAGCUGCAGAGAAGACUGGAUCACUACCUCAGUGAUGACAGAACGCCUGCCAUGGUUUCUGGCCACCCGUCCUCAGGAUGUCGGGCACACGUGUCUCCCUCAAGCUCUCUGCUGUAGAUGGAGUAGAACUGUGUUACACCAGA